rnacentral:tRNA from 1 species
AUUUAAAUAGCUUAUUUUAGAGCAUAAUAUUGAAGAUAUUAAGGAAAUUAAUUAUAAUUUUUAAGUA